GGGCGCCGCGGCGGCCGGAGUGGUCGCAGCGCGGGCGGAGGCCGGGCCUGGCCGCAGGACCAGGGUGGGGGGCGAGUGGGCGCCCGGGCGGCGCGGCCGGGCUGGCGUCUGAGCCGCGGCGGCAGGGACGGCUAGGCGGCCGGGUGGGGUAGGGGUCUGACCUGAGGCGGCGGACGGGGGCGCCGCCGGCUGCCGAGCGGCGGCGGCAGGGGCCCUUUUCGGCUCGGGGCGGGUCGUCGGGGCCGCUGGAGCAGGGCGGGCUGUCGCGCGGGGUCGGGCCCUGCCCUCCGGCCCGCCCUCGGCCGCCAGGGCCUCCGGGCCGCGCGCCCGGCCCGCGGGCUGCGGUUCCGGCCGCCAUGUGUGGACCUUAAAGCGUCUUUGGAAGCGCUUUGACAUCUGUGAAGGGCUUUGUAUUGCAAACUAAAUUGAAGCGCUUAGCAGUCCCGGAAGCGCUUUGAGGUCUCCGAAGUAGCGCGGUGCAAACAGAAGCGCUUGGUGAUCACGGAAGCACGUUGUGGUUUUGGGAGCCAAACCGAAGCCUUUAGUCAAUCUCGAAUCGUUGGGACUUCUCCGAAGCGCUUUGGCAUCUCUGAAACCUUGAGAACUGUGAUGGGCAGUGGAAAGAAGAGGGAAAGGUGCCCAUGGCGUCGGAGCGGCGCAAGGUCAAGUACCACUGGAGCAGCACUUCGGAAGGGUGUCCCAGCAAGCGCAGCUGCCUCCGGGAGCCCAGUGAUGUGGCCCCCUCCAGCCGGCCAGCCCACAGCUCUGCGUCGCGUUCACGAGGGGGCAGCAGCUCCAAGCGCCUGAAAGCUUGCAAGGAGGACGAUGUGGCCUGCUCGCCGAGGUUAUCCAGGAGCUCAUCCCGCCGCAGACAUUCCUCCUCCUCCUCCUCCUCCCAUUCCUCUGGCCCAGGUGUGGGCGGGGCCGCCUCCAAAGGCUGCCUGAUUCGGAGCGCUCGGGCGUUCCUUUCGUCGAGGGGAUCCUCUAUGCGCCCUACCAACCCCUCCCUAGAAGAAAUGGCUUCUCUAGAGGAGGAAGCCUGCAGCCUUAAGGUUGAUUCCAAAGAUGGUUCUCGUAACUCCAUGAACUCUGAAUUUGCAGCUGAAGCUGAGGGUCAGAAUGACGGGAUGGAAGAACCAAACAAGGUCCAGAAAAGGAAGAGGAAUAGGCUUGGGGACCAGGGCUCCACGGUGAUCUACCUGAAGGCACUACAGGGCAUCCUGGGGAAAUCCAUGCCCAGGAGGAAAGAAGCUGCCACCCCUAGGGUGAAACCGAGCCCAGGAGUGCGUCCCAGCCGUGCUGAAGGACCAGCCAGGAGUGUCUCGGUUACUCCUCCUCAGAAAGAGAAAGAGUCGCCCCCAGAGGUCAGAGUGGAGGAGGAUCAGCUUGACAGGAGCAGCUUCUGUGACAGGAGAGUGAUUGUGGACCCUCAGGAGAAGUCUGCUGAGGAGCCACUUGGUGACCGAAGGACAGUCAUUGACAAGCCCUCUCCCCCGCUAGAAUUUUUGGAUGACUCCGACACUCAUUUAGAAAUCCAAAAGCAUCAAGAUAGGGAAGUGGUGAUUGAGCAGCCCUCCUCAGGAAGCGACUGGUCUGAUGUGGACGAGGUCUCCACGGUCAGAUUCUCUCAGGAGGAACCUGUCUCGCUGAAGUACUCGGCAGUUCCAGAGACUUCUUCCUUUCCCACUGACUACGUCAUGUACCCCCCCCACUUGUACAGUAGUCCUUGGUGCGACUAUGCCAGCUACUGGGCCAGUGGCCCCAAGACUCCUGGCCACCCCUCUGUGGGCAGCAGCCAGGACACAGUGCCGGCUGGGACAAGCAACCGCAGCCUCCUAAGUGAUUAUCCCCCCAGCUCCGCAGUGAGCUCCCAGAGCACCUCCAGAGACGUGGAGGCUGCAGACGAAGGCAGAUCCCAGAAUUCCCGUUCCCUGCGCUUCUCCAGAAGCUCUGGAGAGGAAGUGAAGGAAAAAAGAACAUUCCGAGAGGAGACGCCACCUCGUCCCUGUGGUGGACAGGCAUCCAGCUCCCUGCCACGGAGCCACCGGGAGCCCAGCCUGGAGGAGGGCUUCAUUGACACCCACUGCCACUUGGACAUGCUGUACUCCAAGUUGUCUUUCAAGGGGACCUUUACAAAGUUCAGAAAAAUUUACAGCAGCUCUUUCCCCAAGGAAUUCCAGGGCUGCAUCUCUGACUUCUGUGACCCUCGGACGCUGACGGACUGCCUGUGGGAGGAGCUGCUGAAGGAGGACCUGGUCUGGGGGGCCUUUGGCUGUCACCCCCAUUUUGCACGUUACUAUAGUGAGAGUCAAGAGAGAAAUCUGUUGCAGGCCUUGCGGCACCCCAAGGCCGUGGCCUUCGGGGAAAUGGGCUUGGAUUACUCUUACAAGUGCACCACGCCCAUCCCAGAGCAGCACAAGGUAUUUGAGAGACAGCUGCAGCUGGCCGUGUCUCUUAAGAAGCCCUUGGUCAUCCACUGUCGAGAAGCUGAUGAAGAUCUGUUGGACAUCAUGAAAAAAUUUGUACCCUCCGACUACAAGAUCCAUAGGCAUUGCUUCACUGGCAGCUACCCGGUCAUCGAGCCCUUGUUGAAGUACUUUCCCAACAUGUCCGUGGGCUUCACGGCAGUCCUGACCUACUCCUCCGCCUGGGAGGCCCGGGACGCUCUGAAACAGAUCCCAUUGGAGAGAAUCAUUGUGGAAACGGAUGCCCCCUACUUCCUGCCUCGCCAGGUUCCCAAGAGCCUUUGCCAGUAUGCCCACCCGGGCCUGGCCCUGCACACGGUCCGAGAGAUUGCCAGGGUCAAAGAUGAGCCACUCUCCCGCACGCUGGCCGCCUUGCGUGAGAACACCAGCCGCCUCUACAACCUCUGAGCAAGGAGGGCGCCCUCAGGAGUCUCCCAGGAAAGGUCAUGGAAUUCACAUGAUGUGCUCUGUAAAAAUCAGAACCAGCAGAUCCUGCAGGGCGACCAGCAGUCCCUCAGAACGUAGGCUGCGCUCCAGCCCCACCUGUGUCCUGGGUCAAGGAUGUUUGCGGAGCCCACUGGGACAGAGGCAGCCAGGACAGGCUGUUUUCCCGAGACUUUUCCUCAAGGCUUCAGCUUCUGGCUGGCAGAUGGGUGGCCGUGGAGGGUAGGUGCUGCGGGAACAGCAUUGGGCUCUGCCUGCCAGCCAGGCUGCUCCAGGGCAGUCAGCAAGAGGAGAGAGUGACCUGAGGGUACCAGAAUAUGCCAGUCCAAGUCCCUGUUCUCUGCAGCCUGUGAUUUUUAAGCAGUCUGUGAAUAAAGUCACCCUGCUACCCACCUAAGCACAUGUGGGCGUAUAACCGGGUCCCCGCUUCUCAUGGGAAAUGUCUUGGAAGCUCGCUGGAGUUCUGUCUCCGAGGUUUGUUUCUGGGAACCAGCGAGGCUGCCCCCUUCCCUGGAUAGCUCUGGGUUUGCCUGUCACUGUACCCUUGUCAACUCCAGUAUUGGCACAAGUGGGAGGACUGCAGUUGUGCUCUGGUUUCACUGCACGUGCGGAGGGCUGCAGAGGGUGCUUGUCGUCCUCGGGAAGUCCUGGCUGGCGGAGGUGCAGGACAGACGGGGGCACUGAAGAAGUGUCCCCACUGACGGAAGCCCCAAGGCUGCUGCUUGGUGCGUUAAAGGGUUGGGGUCAAGUCUGUAGUACAAGGUCCCUGCCAGCUGGGGAUCAGGAGCCCAGCUGCCCCUGCUUCGUGUGUGUACCCCUACUGAACCGCUUGGCCAUGCAGCCACCUCUUGAGUGCCCUACCCAGGUUGGCAGCUCAAUCCACACAGUUCUCGGGGCUCCUGGGGCGUUGCGGCAUGAGCAGGCCUGUGUCUUGACCUGCGAAAUCCCCCUCUGCCUCUCCUGGCGUCCUUGCCUUUGCCUCCUCUCUGCUCUCUGUUUUAGAAGAGAGCCUCUCCUUGGACUUACAGCAGCUGAAUCAUCUCAAGUUCAGAGCUCUGCUCUGCUCUGCUCUCUGCUGUGCCUUGGAAAGGUGUGUGCCUCCCAGGCCUCAGAGUUUAUGAUGGCCAAAGGUCAAGUGUGAGCAGACUCCUGAGCUUUGUCCAAGAAGGUCCUCACCCUAAUCUGCAGUGAGACAGGUCACCUGGAGUCCCCUGUUUAUUGAAGGCUUACAUUAUACAAUCCGCCCCUUACUGUGGAUUCCUCUAGGUGUUUCUGGAAGCACAUCUGAACCUGUAAACUAAAAUGGGAUGGACUUUAUAUUUCCUGUGUGGAAUUUGCACCGUGCCCCUGCUGGCCUAGGAGGCAGGCCUUGGUGUCUAUCCAUCUCCCACAGGUCAGUUGCUUUUUGUGCCUCAAAGGUGCCAGUGUGGGGAGUCAGGGGGACUUGAUCACCUGUUAAAGAUUUGGCAGACUGCCAAGUCUGUCCGUGCUUUACUGUCACCCAGGUGAACUGCAGCAUAGCCUUGUUCUUGAGGGACAAUCCCCGUAAGUCACAUUGCCUGCUUGUGAGACAGACUGUGUGACAUCUCCAAGCUCAGUCCCCUGCUGAGAAAGAGCACAGGGUGUUGUCCACCCAUUUUCCCUCAGGACUUAGGAUUGUCAUGUGUGUUGGUCCCACAGUGAGACCUUGCCUACGUGGGGCUGACAUUGGCUUGACCUCAGGUUCCGUUCUGUUGUUGGGUAGCUGACUUGAUUGCUCUCACUUGCUGCCAGGGUGCCUCUGUGCCUCUCCCCGACUUCGGCCAUCUCUGAGAAUAAAGUGGUGGAUCCUCUCGCUGAGUCCUGUGCGUCCAUGUGUGUCCAGAGUUCUCUGAGUGUCGCAGCUGGCCAGCCCAGUGUUGGCCAGCUAUGUGACCUGGCAUCUGAUGUUGGGAGACUCUUCAGUACACGCGUGCCUUGCUGUCAAAUCAAACCGGAUGCGAGAACAGGUUGUGCCUUCCUAAAAGUGCUGCCUGGGAGCAUUAUCGCUCAGUGCGGCCUGGGAAUGCGGAUGUGCCGCUGCUUCCUAGCUGUGAAGAGGACAUCAGUGACUUUCCCCACCUGGAGAGCAGUGGGAGGGAGACUCCGGGACUUGGGAUGUGAUGAGUUUGUUUGCUUGUGGGUUUGGCUGUGAUCUCCAUGCUUCUGGGUGAAUGCUGGAGGAAGUUCUCUCUCACUGUUUGCAGGCAGUUGUCUAAUUUGGGAUGAAGGUAUUGCUGGUAGGCUUCAUUGUUUGGGUGCUUAUUGGCCCAGGGCCUGGAGCCAACCCCAGCCCCGUUCCAGGGUGCUCCCGGGCACAGCUCGUGGCUGGAGGGGAAGCCUGCAUGGGCAGAGAAAGGCUCCAAGCAGCGCCACAUAGGCCGGGCCUGUGCUGCAGCUCGCCUCACACGUGGUCAUGUGUUCUCGGCAAGUUCUGUGACUUUCAGCCUGUUCCUUCCUGGUCAGACACACCCGCUGUCCCGUCAGUGCUGGUCUGUAUAGAGCUGGUGAUCUGCCUGCGGCUCUCCUGGUGUCUCCAUCUUCCUUUCUGUGGUGAGUUUGGGAUUGAUGCUGAUCAUGUACAGUUGGCACUUUGCUUUCCCCAUCAUUCAUUUUUAUUAAAUAAGGGCAAAUGGCCAUGGGGUUGUGUAACGAUGGGACACCAGACUCUGUCAGAUGGUGCUCAGUGGUCGCCAGCCUCACUGGUCCCUAUCGGUGCUCCUCAGUGGAGUUUAUAUAUAUGGGUUCAGCUUAGGUGGGCGCCUGACCUCUGCUGUUGGUACACAGUUUUAAGAGUUUCUGAGCACAUACCUCUAAGUGUGUGAUAAGUUAAAGUUACAUACAUGCUGCACUAUUACACUGAUCAUAAAACAAUGUACCAGGGUUGA